GGGGAAUUUUGGACAAUGGGCGAAAGCCUGAUCCAGCAACGCCGUGUGUGUGAAGAAGGCCUUCGGGUUGUAAAGCACUUUUAGUUGGGAAGCAAAGCUCAAGACUAAUACCCUUGAGUGAUGACGUUACCAACAGAAAAAGCACUGGCUAACUCUGUGCCAGCAGCCGCGGUAAUACAGAGAGUGCGAGCGUUAAUCGGAAUUACUGGGCGUAAAGCGCACGUAGGUGGAAUUUUAAGUCGGAUGUGAAAUCCCCGGGCUUAACCUGGGAAUUGCAUUCGAUACUGUGAUUCUAGAGUAUGGUAGAGGGAAGUGGAAUUUCCGGUGUAGCGGUGAAAUGCGUAGAUAUCGGAAGGAACAUCAGUGGCGAAAGCGGCUUCCUGGACCAAUACUGACACUUAGGUGCGAAAGCGUGGGGAGCAAA
rnacentral:rRNA from 1 species